rnacentral:rRNA from 1 species
UACGUAGGGUGCGAGCGUUAAUCGGAAUUACUGGGCGUAAAGCGUGCGCAGGCGGUUCUUUAAGUCCGGGGUGGAAGCCCUGGGCUUAACCUAGGAAUUGCGCUUGAGACUGGAUAGCUUGGAGUGCGGCAGAGGGAGGUGGAAUUCCACGUGUAGCAGUGAAAUGCGUAGAGAUGUGGAGGAACACCGAUGGCGAAGGCAGCCUCCUGGGCCAGCACUGACGCUCAUGCACGAAAGCGUGGGGAGCAAACAGG